UCGGACGGGGACUCAUACGAGACUGCCGGGGUCAACUNGGAGGAAGGUGGGGACGACGUCAAAUGCAUUAUGCCCCUUAUGUUUUGGGCUUCACGCAUGCUACAAUGGCCGGUACAAAGGGUUGCGAUAAUGUGAGGUGGAGCUAAUCCCAAAAAGCCGGUAUCAGUUCGGAUUGGGGUUUGCAACUCGACCCCAUGAAGUCGGAGUCGCUAGUAAUCGCAGAUCAGCAACGCUGCGGUGAAUACGUUCCCGGGCCUUGUACACACCGCCCGUCAAGUCACGAAAGUUGGUAAACACCCGAAGCCGGUGGCCUAACCCCUCUACUGGGGGGAGCCGUCGAAGGUGGGACCGGCGAUUGGGUACUAAGUCGUAACAAGGUAGCCGUACCGGA
rnacentral:rRNA from 1 species